GACAGAGGGUGCAAACGUGUUCGGAAUUACUGGGCGUAAAGCGCGUGUAGGCGGCUUUGCAAGUCGGGCGUGAAAUCUCCACGCUCAACGUGGAGGGGCCAUUCGAAACUGCCGUGACUCGAGUCCGGUAGGGGAGUGUGGAAUUCCCGGUGUAGCGGUGAAAUGCGCAGAUAUCGGGAGGAACACCAGUAGCGAAGGCGGCACUCUGGGCCGGUACUGACGCUGAGGAGCGAAAGCGUGGGGAGCGAACAGG
rnacentral:rRNA from 1 species